GCGGCAGAACCAUGGCGGCAGCGCCUCGCCGUUGCCAGCAAAGGGAGAUGGAGAGGCAGCUAGCGGUUGUGUCACCGCCGGAGGAAACGAUGGAGGUGGUGACGUCGUGCUGGCCGGAUUUGGUGGGCUGGGGACGAGUUCUCGACGAGAACCAAGGAAAAGAUAGAGAGAGAUCUGAAAUUAAGGAAUUGAAGAGAGGAGGAGGUGUCGGACUUUGGCGAGGUAGAAGCUGACUCGCCGGAUUGUGGAGCGGCGACGGCGGGCGCCUCGGCUGGAGAUGGAUCGAGAGAGAGAGAGAACCGAAGGGAGAGAGAGCUCGACUGAUAUGAGAAAGAGAGAGAGUUUUCGACUGAUCUGGGAGUGAAAGAGAGAGAGGCGAGAUUGGAUUGUGUGGGAGAGAGAAAAGGGAGGACCGAGAGUUGUGAGAGAAAAGAAAUAGAGUGGGCUUGAUUUGGGCCUUUUCAUUUAAUUCUUUGGGCUUGAUUAAUUUUAAUUGUUUGGGCUUUCCUCUAAAUUAUGUGGGCCGAAAUUUUGAGCUUAUUUUUAAUGAAAUUGGGCUUCCAAUUUUAAUUGCUUGGGCUUUCAUAUUUAAAUUCGAAUUGGGCCAGUCUUUUAUUUAAUUGGCUCUUCUCAUUAUUUUUAUUGAGCAUGAAUUAAUUUAAGGAAUUGGGCUUUGUCUUUUAAUUCUUUGGGCUGCUGUAUCAUAUCAACUGAGCCGAGUUUUAUUUAAUUUUAAGCUCAGAAUAAUUCAUUCUAUUCUUGGGCUAAUUUUAAAUUAUGGAUUGAAAUUUUAUUUAGUUGGGCCUUACAUGAUUUAUUUAAUUGAGCCCAACUAUUCAUUAUUUAAUCAUUUGGGCCAAGAUUUAUUUAAUUACUAAGCCCAAUGAAUUAUUUCAAUUGGACCUUUCAUUUUAGCUAUCCAG
rnacentral:lncRNA from 1 species